rnacentral:rRNA from 1 species
UACGGAGGGGGCUAGCGUUGUUCGGAAUUACUGGGCGUAAAGCGCACGUAGGCGGCUUUGUAAGUUAGAGGUGAAAGCCCGGGGCUCAACUCCGGAAUUGCCUUUAAGACUGCAUCGCUAGAAUUGUGGAGAGGUAAGUGGAAUUCCGAGUGUAGAGGUGAAAUUCGUAGAUAUUCGGAAGAACACCGGUGGCGAAGGCGGUUCUCUGGGCCUGACCUGACGCUGAGGAGCGAAAGCGUGGGGAGCGAACAGG